rnacentral:lncRNA from 1 species
AUGUCGGGGUCCCACCGACCCCCAACUCACCAUGGCCUCGUUUGCUGGCUGGAGUCCACUCAGGCGGAACUGGAUGCAAGAUGCUGGGACCUGGCCUGCGACUUCCCCCUGCCUUCCGUGUUCCUGGUCUGCUGGGAUAACCAGCUCAGCUAUUUCCGUCAACGUCCAGGGCCUGGGAGCUGCUUGGUCUGUGCCCCUGGAGUCCUGAUUCCACCAUUUGUUACAUUUCCUUGUGUGGAAUCUCGGUUUUCCUGUCCCUAUUAUGGGGAAAGAAGCCAUCUCCUUCAUGGGAAAGAAGGAACGCUCACAGUCAGCUCAGCAGUCCCCGCACCCGUGUCUUUACUCUGCGGCAGGACCAUGCCAAGCUCUUCUCCAGCGGGAUCUCCAGGAACCUUCAAACAGCCUCAUAACUCGGUCACGGUGAUCAUUCCCAUUUUACAGAGGAGCAAACUGAGACACACGCCUAAGGAGCUGAGUCUGCUGCUCGGCCCCCCUGGGAGGUACCCAGGUACCCAAAAUCCAACACUGGGGGCUUCUUGGUUUGUAAUCUGGAGGGCCUGGAACUCUGCAAACUUCCUCACUCCUGGAAUCCGUCACUGGAUGUCACCACUGCCCUGGCGCUCAGGAAUGCUACUCCUUCGGACCUUAAGAAGCUGAAUCACAGGCUGGAGGGAAGAAUCCCAGUGUGAACAAGAGCAGUGGAUGAAGGGAAACAGAAACAAGGAAGUCAGGCAGGUGAGUCUGGGGGAGAGAUUUCCUGAGAAUAGGGAUUCUCAAACUGUGGUCUCUCUUGUGGACACAGUGGGGGAGGGUGGGGCGAAUGGAGAGAGUCGCACGGGAACAUGUACACCAUCCUACGUGAAAGAGGGGGCCGUGGGGAUUUGCCUGAUGACUCAGGGGGCUCAGACUGGUGCUCUGUGGCCACCCAGAGGCGCGGGACGGAGGGAGGGGACGUGUGGAUAUCCGUGGCUGAUUCAUGUUGAUGCAUGGCAGAAGCAAACACAGCAUUGUAAAGCAAUUAUCCUUCAAUUAAAAUAAGUAACUUAAAAAAAAAUGUGGUCUCUUGGACAUCGCUGGUGGUCCAGUGGUUAAGAACCCGCCUGCCAAUGCCUGGUCUGGGAAGAUGGCACGUGUCUCGGAGCAAAGCCCAUGCACCUCAGCUCCCGAGCCAGCGCUCUAGAGCCCAUGCUCCGCCCAACAAGAAGCCGGGGCAGCGAGAGGCCCACGUACCGCAAUGAAGAGUAGCCCCGACUUGCCGCAACUACAGAGAAAGCCCAGGCGCAGCAGCAAAGGCCCAGCACAGCCUCUAAAUAAGCAGACAGAUAAACCGGAAAAGAGCAAAAAGCAAAAACGAGAUACCAGCAGCAUCGGCAACAUCCGGGAAGUUGUUAGAAAGGCAAAUUCCCAGACCCCACUGCAGGCCUUCUAAAC